AGGAGCUCAAAUUUGAAAUCUGGGGUCCCCCGGCCCCCGAGUUGUAAUUUGGAGAGGCAUCUUCGGGGGGGAGCGCCGGCCCAUGUUCCUUGGAACAGGACGUCGCAGAGGGUGAGAAUCCCGUGCCAGGCCGGCUGCCUCCUCCCUAGUGAAGGGCCUUCGACGAGUCGAGUUGUUUGGGAAUGCAGCUCCAAGUGGGUGGUAAAUUUCAUCUAAAGCUAAAUACCGGCGGGAGACCGAUAGCGCACAAGUAGAGUGAUCGAAAGAUGAAAAGCACUUUGAAAAUAGAGUCAAAAAGUACGUGAAAUUGUUGAAAGGGAAGCGCUUGAGACCAGACUCAGACCCGAGCAAACACCGCGCCCCUCGGGGCCGUGCAAUUGCCUGGGGCUGGGCCAGCAUCAGUUGGCGUGGCGGGACAAAGGCGCGGGGAAUGUGGCUCCCCUCGGGGAGUGUUAUUAGGCCCGCGCUCAAUGCCGCCGCCGCCGACUGAGGACCGC
rnacentral:rRNA from 1 species